GUGCUCACUUCAGCAACACACAUAGCAACACAUAAUACUAAAAUUGGAACUAUAUGGAAAAGAUUAGCAUGGCCCCUGCAGAAGGAUGACAAGAAAAUUCAUAAAGCAUUCCAUAUUUAA
rnacentral:snRNA from 1 species